rnacentral:tRNA from 1 species
GCAUCUGUAGCUCAGUGGAUAGAGCAGUGGUUUCCGGAGCCGCGUGUCGGGGGUUCGACUCCCUUCAGAUGCA